rnacentral:lncRNA from 1 species
UUCCAGAAAUGAGAUUAAGAAAUAGAAAAGAUGAAAGCGGUAACAGGGAUGGCUAUCAAUCGUGGAUCUCCAACCUAUGAAUAAAAGGUGCUACAGAUAAAAACCGGGCUAGGUUAGCAGCAAUACCAGAAGUAUCAUGGGAGAAAAAAUUCCCAGAUCUGAAAAAAUACCCCAAAUUCUGACUUUGUUACCAUUGAAUUCUGCUAAAAAGAAAAACCGAGCCUAAGAUGAUGGAAGACUAAGGAAGACCUGCCUUUUGCAGCUUCAGGAGAACUCCAGGGCCAGAGAAUGUGGGACAGGGUGGCAACAGGAUCUACUGCCAACCCCCUGCAGGCCCAGCACUCUGAUAUGAAUCAGAGGGAUUCAGAGCGGAAGAUGUGCUGUGACUGAGCACUGCGGGGCUCCAGGGUGGAUGCCAGGCAGGGUAGCAAUAAGACAAACGCAAUUGUUCUCACACCUGUGUGUCGAGGUGGUGAAGGGCAGGACCGGCGCCUCAGAGUUUUGGUGCCCUUUCCCCAGGCUAGGCUCAUUAGCGUCUCACUCUCCUCUGGCCUGACUCCCACUCCAUACUUGAAUUCCCUCAAUAUCACAUACUCUUUCAUUUCCUGUUUAUAAAUCUGUAGCAAUGUGGUGCUCGCCACCUCCUAAAGUAGCUUUUGCCUCCUUCUUGUUCUCAGAAACGCCUUGUUGCAAAGGCCGGGUCCAGGUGCAAGCCUCAGCUCCAGUUCCCCUCGAGGAUAAGCAGAACUCUUACUCCCUGAUACUCAAAAUAAAAUACCCCACUCUUCCGAAUAGCUCCCAGACACUAUGUCCCCCUUGUAAACAGAACCGCUCCCUCCAAGCCCAGAGGUCAACUUCUUGAAUAUGUCAUGCCAUUUCUUCGCUCUCCUCCCCGGGUUGCUUCUCAGAUGCUCUGUGCAUCAUCUCCUGCAUCCCGUGGCCAAAUAAACCAGUCAGUGCUCAAUUCUCCAAUUGACUGGAUGGCUCAGGGAACAAACCCUCAAAUCUGAUUACAGGAAAAUUCAUUACUUUAAGUCCUCCCUCAGGGUUCAGAGCUCAUAAAAGAAACCUCCAGAGGCCCAGGCCGAGGGGAAGAGAAGCUCCUAUGCCGCACAUCUACAGAUUGCCAAUAAUUAACCUGAACUAAUUAUUGUUGAGCCCCAGGUCAGUCUUCCCAGAUCAAGGCUCCCCUGACAACUGAGUUUUCAGAGCCAGAACUUUUCACUCAGACACAAAAGGAACAUUCAGCAGAUUUUAAUAAAAAAGAGCAUGACUCACAUAGGAUCCUCUGCUAGACAGAGACCCAGCCGGUUGGAGGCUCACUGGCAGGGACACGAUUCAGGGCCCCCAGAGAGACACCUGUGUGAGGACUCUUUUCCUGGCCCUGUUUACAACCCUCUUAGGAUUUUUGAACAAAUAAGACCACGCAUCUCAACACAUAAAGACAAACAGCAA